rnacentral:rRNA from 1 species
CCUACGGGUGGCAGCAGUGGGGAAUAUUGGGCAAUGGGCGCAAGCCUGACCCAGCAACGCCGCGUGAAGGAAGAAGGCUUUCGGGUUGUAAACUACUUUUCUGAGGGACGAAGGAAGUGACGGUAACUCAGGAAUAAGCCACGGCUAACUACGUGCCAGAAGCCGAGGUAAUACGUAGGUGGCAAGCGUUAUCCGGAUUUAUUGGGGGUAAAGGGCGUGUAGGCGGGAAAGCAAGUCAGAUGUGAAAACUCAGGGCUCAACCCUGAGCCUGCAUUUGAAACUGUUUUGCUUGAGUGCUGGAGAGGCAAUCGGAAUUCCGGGUGUAGCGGUGAAAUGCGUAGAUAUACGGAGGAACACCAGUGGCGAAGGCGGAUUGCUGGACAGUAACUGACGCUGAGGCGCGAAAGCGUGGGGAGCAAACAGGAUUAGAUACCCUAGUAGUC